AUGAUAGGUACAUCAGUAACGGUUGGAGCGACCGUUAAUGAUGAUACCCAUCAUCAGUAAUAGGAAGUUAGUAACGGCGGCCCCGACCGUUACUGAUAAACCUUUCUGUAGUAGUGAAUACAAAUUUAACUAUAUAAUUUUGGUAGCAUGUAACUCACGUAUCAUUUGUUUAAGUGUUUUUUUUUCUUUUAGGUAAAUGAAAACUAGACCCGCAAGGGGUAAGCCAUCCCCAAGCAUUUGCAUUGAGAACAAGACCUUCGUGAAAGCCCCAAAUUCUUGCCCCACCCAUACACACCGGCACCAAAGCCUGUACGAGACCGGACGAGCAUUAGGCCUGUGCUUAAGGUGUGGGACAUAGGAGGAGGUUAACGGCACAUGGUAACACCUGACCUUGGUCGGCGGGAGCUGCUGGGAGCAGCUGCAGCGAGGAGACAGAUGAGCUUUGAUUAAGGAAUUGUUGAUUGUUAUGAGUAAUUAGGAAACAUGUUUAAGGUAAAUGGGAAACGUGGCUCCAACUGCCGGCCUAAAUUGAUGGAGGUUAUUACGGACAUAUUGUUGAGUUCUUUUUCGGCCGCAAGGCCUUUGAUAUAGAUGGUGAGAUCUAAUUGGCACUCCCUUAGUGGUUUCUGGAGUACCGAGGUACUGUAAAUAAUCUCAUAUAUCAUGUCUAUCUCAGUCAUUACGUCAUGACACCACUCCUUGACAUGACGUACAUAUAAAUAGAACAUAGUGGCUGCGUGUCCCAAUUCGCAUAGCUAAUCUCCUCUCAUCUGGUCGGAAAAUCCUUCCAAUAGUAUUGUACC
rnacentral:lncRNA from 1 species